rnacentral:rRNA from 1 species
UACGGAAGGCAGCAGUGGGGAAUAUUGCACAAUGGGCGAAAGCCUGAUGCAGCUAUGCCGCGUGUAUGAAGAAGGCCUUAGGGUUGUAAAGUACUUUCAUCGGGGAGGAAAAACAAAACUAAUAAUUUUAUUUCUUGACGUUACCCGAAAAAGAAGCACCGGCUAACUCCGUGCCAGCAGCCGCGGUAAUACGGAGGGUGCUAGCGUUAAUCAGAAUUACUGGGCGUAAAGAGCACGUAGGUGGUUUUUUUAAGUCAGAUGUGAAAUCCCUGGGCUUAACCUAGGAACUGCAUUUUGAAACUGAAAUACUAGAGUAUCGUAGAGGGAGGUAGAAUUCUAGGUGUAGCGGUGAAAUGCGUAGAUAUCUGGAGGAAUACCUGUGGCGAAAGCGGCCUCCUAAACGAAUACUGACACUGAGGUGCGAAAGCGU